AAUAAAAUUAAUUUUUUUAUUAAUUUUAGGGCUAAACAAAACUAAAAAUACUAUCAAAUACGGCCCAACAGGGCCCAGACUCGGCCCGCAAUGGACACAGUCCAAUAGGGCCCAAAUUGGGCCCACAAAAAGAGCAUGGCCCAACAAAGCCUAAAGUAGCUAAACUGGGCCAAAAUUGGCCCGCAGUUGGUUCGACCCAAUAGGGCCCAACAAAGCUGCAGUGGGCCCAAAUUGGACCCAUAUUGGGUAUUCACGACCCAUUUCCUUUCUUUUUCUUCCUUUUCUCUUCUUUUCUUUUCUUUUUCUUUUCUUUUCUUUUCUUUUUCUUUUUCUUUUUCUUCUCUUCUUCCCGAAGCUUCCUCUCCUCUUCCCAUUCUUUCUUCUUCUCCCCUUCCCCUCUCUUCUUCCGUGACCAAAGAGGGGGCGACCCCAUACCGGGGCUCAGGAGGGGGCCGGCCCUCUCUCCCUCCCGUGGAGAAGAGAGAGCUCGGGAGAACGGCGGCCGGCCCUCUCUUCUUCCCGUGGAGGAGAGAGAGAGCUCGGGAGAAGAAGAGCCCGCGGCCGGGACCGGCGGCGCCAGCAACGCUCGCGGCCGCACACGGGAACUGCAGACGGGACACAUCAAAAUUAGGGAUCGUGAAGUACCAGCACAAGUGGAUGGACCAGAGCUCUUCGACAGGCUCGAAUUCCGGGGAGAUCGAAAAGGGGGAGAGUCCAACCCCGGUUGGGGGAUCCAGGGCACAAACUUUUGAGAGGCGUGGCGCUGCGGGAUCUGAUGGGGAGAAGGUAGAAGAGAUAGCAGAAGGGAAUGAGGAAGUGGCGGCGUCGAGAUACGAGGAGUUUCAACCCGCUAUAUAUAAUACAUACAGAGAGAGAAGGGAGGGGGCGUACCGCGAGAGCUGGUGGCGUUUUCCGCCGGCGAGUGGAGGUGGAGGAUGAGCACCAGGAGGAACACGGGAUACGAACGACCGUACGCGUUAUAAAUAACAGCUGGGUUGGGCUAGAAUGUAGCCUGUGGGUGGGCCGACUUUGCCCAGAUUAAAAUUUGGAUCCAAAUCAGGUUGUCUGAUAAACUUUAAUUGGGCCGUCAAAAUGGUGCUGGGCCAAGAUUGAGAGGUCUACCUACUAAUAAAGAGGAUAUAAUGUUGGAUUAGUGGGAAGCACACUCAUGAGUGGAUUUUGGAUUCUAUUUAGCAUUUAAGGGAAGAUUUGGGCAGGAUGGAUGCAACGCAAGGGAAUGACGCAGAUGGAAGAGUGACGACGAAUCGAAUGGUUGUAGAUGUGGUGAGGACUUGCCGGAGAAGAAGAAGAACAGAGUGGAGAAAGAGUCCUUCAGAUGAUUUGGUGUUGUGGUUUGUUUCCUGCAAUUGGUGGCCACAUUAACUGGGAUGAUGAAAAUAGGAAGAGUAAGAUAUAGGGCCGCAUGCAGUUCGGGUUGGAUCGAGGAUUGGUGCAUUUGAAAUCCAAUGAAUAAAAAUCGAAUCUAGACUGAAUUGAUUACCAUUUGGAUUUGAUUAGAUCGAGUUCAGGAUUUAUUUUAAGUUAUUGGACCUUUCAAGUCAAUUUGGGUCGGAAACAUGUAUGAACUUAUCAAUUAAUUAUAUCGUAAACAUAUUAUACAGCAA